UGGGGAAUAUUGCACAAUGGGGGAAACCCUGAUGCAGCCAUGCCGCGUGUGUGAAGAAGGCCUUCGGGUUGUAAAGCACUUUCAGUGGUGAGGAAAGGGUAAUCGUUAAUAGCGGUUACAGUUGACGUUAGCCACAGAAGAAGCACCGGCUAACUCCGUGCCAGCAGCCGCGGUAAUACGGAGGGUGCAAGCGUUAAUCGGAAUUACUGGGCGUAAAGCGUACGUAGGCGGUGUGUUAAGCUAGAUGUGAAAGCCCCGGGCUCAACCUGGGAAUAGCAUUUAGAACUGGCACGCUAGAGUCCUGAAGAGGGUGGUAGAAUUUCCAGUGUAGCGGUGAAAUGCGUAGAUAU
rnacentral:rRNA from 1 species